UGCGGGAUGGCGCAGUUGGUAGCGCGCUGGGCUCAUAACCCAGAGGUUCCCGGGUUCGAAUCCCGGUCCCGCUCCCG
rnacentral:tRNA from 1 species